AUUGAACGCUGGCGGCAUGCCUUACACAUGCAAGUCGAACGGUAACGGGCCUUCGGGUGCCGACGAGUGGCGAACGGGUGAGUAAUGCAUCGGAACGUACCUUUCAGUGGGGGGAUAACGUAGCGAAAGUUACGCUAAUACCGCAUAUUCUGUGAGCAGGAAAGCAGGGGAUCGCAAGACCUUGCGCUGAUUGAGCGGCCGAUGUCAGAUUAGCUAGUUGGUGAGGUAAAGGCUCACCAAGGCGACGAUCUGUAGCGGGUCUGAGAGGAUGAUCCGCCACACUGGAACUGAGACACGGUCCAGACUCCUACGGGAGGCAGCAGUGGGGAAUUUUGGACAAUGGGGGCAACCCUGAUCCAGCCAUGCCGCGUGAGUGAAGAAGGCCUUCGGGUUGUAAAGCUCUUUCAGACGGAAAGAAAACGCAUCGGUGAAUACCCGGUGUGGAUGACGGUACCGUAAGAAGAAGCACCGGCUAACUACGUGCCAGCAGCCGCGGU
rnacentral:rRNA from 1 species